GAUGAACGCUAGCGGCAGGCUUAAUACAUGCAAGUCGUGGGGCAGCAGGACUGUAGCAAUACAGUUGCUGGCGACCGGCAAACGGGUGCGGAACACGUACGCAACUUACCCUGAACUGGGGGAUAGCCCGGGGAAACCCGGAUUAAUACCCCGUAUAAAAAGGAGGUGGCAUAACUUAAUAAUUAAACUUCGGGCGGUUGGGGUGGGCGUGCGGCUGAUUAGGUAGUUGGUUGAGGUAACGGCUCACCAAGCCUACGAUCAGUAACUGGUGUGAGAGCACGACCAGUCACACGGGCACUGAGACACGGGCCCGACUCCUACGGGAGGCAGCAGUAAGGAAUAUUGGGCAAUGGAGGCAACUCUGACCCAGCCAUGCCGCGUGGAGGAUGAAGGCCCUCUGGGUUGUAAACUUCUUUUAUAGGGGACGAAACCUGUGUAUUCUUACGCAGUUGACGGUACCCUAGGAAUAAGCACCGGCUAACUCCGUG
rnacentral:rRNA from 1 species